rnacentral:rRNA from 1 species
GACGAACGCUGGCGGCGUGCCUAAUACAUGCAAGUCGAGCGCAGGAAACUGACGGAACUCUUCGGAGGGAAGGCAGUGGAAUGAGCGGCGGACGGGUGAGUAACACGUAAGGAACCUGCCUCAAGGAUUGGGAUAACUCCGAGAAAUCGGAGCUAAUACCGGAUAGUUCAACGGACCGCAUGGUCCGCUGAUGAAAGGCGCUUCGGCGUCACCUUGAGAUGGCCUUGCGGUGCAUUAGCUAGUUGGUGGGGUAACGGCCCACCAAGGCGACGAUGCAUAGCCGACCUGAGAGGGUGAUCGGCCACACUGGGACUGAGACACGGCCCAGACUCCUACGGGAGGCAGCAGUAGGGAAUCUUCCACAAUGGACGAAAGUCUGAUGGAGCAACGCCGCGUGAGUGAUGAAGGUUUUCGGAUCGUAAAGCUCUGUUGUAAGGGAAGAACACGUACGAGAGGAAAUGCUCGUACCUUGACGGUACCUUACGAGAAAGCCACGGCUAACUCCGUGCCAGCCGCCGCGGUAAAAC